rnacentral:rRNA from 1 species
AUUGAACGCUGGCGGCAGGCCUAAUACAUGCAAGUCGAGCGAGCGGCGGACGGGUGAGUAAUGUCUGGGAAACUGCCUGAUGGAGAGGGAUAACUACUGGAAACGGUAGCUAAUACCGCAUACCAUCAGAUGUGCCCAGAUGGGAUUAGCUGGUAGGGGGGGUAACUGCUCACCUAGGCGACGAUCCCCAGCUGGUCUGAGAGGAUGACCGGCCACACUGGAACUGAGACACGGUCCAGACUCCUACGGGAGGCAGCAGUGGGGAAUAUUGCACAAUGGGCGCAAGCCUGAUGCAGCCAUGCCGCGUGUGUGAAGAAGGCCUUCGGGUUGUAAAGUACUGUCGGCGGGGAGGCGUUACCCGCAGAAGAAGCACCGGCUAACUCCGUGCCAGCCGCCGCGGUAAUUC